CCUACGGGAGGCAGCAGGGGGGAAUUUUGGACAAUGGGCGCAAGCCUGAUCCAGCAAUGCCGCGUGAGUGAAGAAGGCCUUCGGGUUGUAAAGCUCUUUCAGUCGAGAAGAAAAGGCUGCAGUGAAUAACUGUAGUUUAUGACGGUAUCGACAGAAGAAGCACCGGCUAACUACGUGCCAGCAGCCGCGGCAAUACGUAGGGUGCGAGCGUUAAUCGGAAUUACUGGGCGUAAAGGGUGCGCAGGCGGUUUUGUAAGUCAGAUGUGAAAUCCCCGGGCUUAACCUGGGAAUUGCGUUUGAAACUACAAAGCUAG
rnacentral:rRNA from 1 species